UGUGCUACGGUUGGCUAAGCCAAGCCGAGUUGAUGAUUUUCCAAUCGUCAAAGCGGAGCUCAGUUCAAUUGCUGCAACUUGUGACGGUGGACGUGCGAAGCGGAAGAAGUUACGUAAAGCCACAGUAAAGCGCGCGUAUAAUAAAUUAAAGCACAGGCACAGACACAUUACAACUUGUUUGUGCAUUCGUAUUUACAUACAUACAAACUUUAAAAGGCGUUCUAAAUACUUGUGUCAGCGUGAGAAACUUUGAACGCCAAAAAGCAGCGGAAAGGCAAGUGCAACAGUCAUAGUCGUUGACUCAAGAUUGGACGGCGAUGCAGCGGCAAAAACAUUAACAAAAAAAAAAAAAAAAACUACUUAAAAAUAUAAACUCGGC